UCGGACCCUGUACAGCAGCAGCCCCAGAGUCCUAAGCAACAACAGUGACGCCAACUUGGAGCUCAUCAACACCUGGGUGGCCAAGAACACCAACAACAAGAUCAGCCGGCUGCUAGACAGUCUGCCCUCCGAUACCCGCCUUGUCCUCCUCAAUGCUAUCUACCUGAGUGCAAGUGGAAGACAACAUUUGAUCCCAAGAAAACCAGAAUGGAACCCUUUCACUUCAAAAACUCAGUUAUAAAAGUGCCCAUGAUGAAUAGCAAGAAGUACCCUGUGGCCCAUUUCAUUGACCAAACUUUGAAAGCCAAGUGGGGCAGCUGCAGCUCUCCCACAAUCUGAGUUUGGUGAUCCUGGUACCCCAGAACCUGAAACAUCGUCUUGAAGACAUGGAACAGGCUCUCAGCCCUUCUGUUUUCAAGGCCAUCAUGGAGAAACUGGAGAUGUCCAAGUUCCAGCCCACUCUCCUAACACUACCCCGCAUCAAAGUGACGACCAGCCAGGAUAUGCUCUCAAUCAUGGAGAAAUUGGAUUCUUCGAUUUUUCUUAUGACCUUAACCUGUGUGGGCUGACAGAGGACCCAGAUCUUCAGGUUUCUGCGAUGCAGCACCAGACAGUGCUGGAACUGACAGAGACUGGGGUGGAGGCGGCUGCAG
rnacentral:lncRNA from 1 species